CCCAAACACAACAAACACUUCUCUCACUUCCUCGCACUCUCCCAUUGGUACCCACUCCACACCACCAUCUCCACCAUCAUUUUUCCGACAAGAUCAUAGGAAAAAUCCUUUGGAACCUCUAAGCAUUUUCAUUCCUUUUAUUUGAGGUUCUAGCUAAUCUCUUUUGGAGCUUGGAGAAUUAAGCUUUUUGCGGGUUGCAAGACAAGUCAGGUUGGAGGCUCCCACUUUGCAUGAUAUGAGUAAAUCCUUGAGUGUGUGGGUGAGGCUGCUACUCAUAGGGCCAAAAGACCACAUGCAAAAAGGGUACUGUGUGACGCGUCAUUCCCUGUUGCCUAUGGGGGGAAGAGGUAAAUUCUUAAGUGUCUGGUUGAGGCUAGGCAGGGCAAAAAGACCACAUGCAAAAGAGGUACUACAUGGCUCGUUAUCCCUUGCUGCCCACGGGGGAAUAGGUAAAUCCUUAUGGGUGUGGGUAAGGCUAGGCAUAGCCAAUAGACCACAUGCCAAAAGAGGUACAUAUCAUGCUAGUGGUUUGUGAGUUUUGACUUGUCAUUAAGGCGGUGUAAUGUCUUUGUGACAUUUCCGUCUAUGUGGUGGCAUGUCAUGUGGCAUGGGUUGGCUUUUUAGGUUUUUGGAAGAAAAAAAAAAUGUUUUUAUGCUCACAAUAUAUAUAUUAUGUAGUUUCAUGGUGAUCAUUUUUGAGAGCCUUGUGUUGCAUUAUUUAA